ACUCUGCAAAAUAGCACCGUAUCUUCGGUAUAAGGUGUGGUUAGCUUUGUAUUAGGAUUUACUCCGAAAGCAAGGAAACUUACAACAAAGAGUCCCUCCCGACUGUUUACCAAAAACACAGCACUCUGCUAACUCGUAAGAGGAUGUAUAGGGUGUGACGCCUGCCCGGUGCUCGAAGGUUAAUUGAUGGGGUUAGCAUUAGCGAAGCUCUUGAUCGAAGCCCGAGUAAACGGCGGCCGUAACUAUAACGGUCCUAAGGUAGCGAAAUUCCUUGUCGGUUAAAUACCGACCUGCAUGAAUGGCGUAACGAGAUGGGAGCUGUCUCAAAGAGGGAUCCAGUGAAAUUGUAGUGGAGGUGAAAAUUCCUCCUACCCGCGGCAAGACGGAAAGACCCCGUGGACCUUUACUACAGCUUGACACUGCUACUUGGAUAAGAAUGUGCAGGAUAGGUGGGAGGCUUUGAGUAUAUGACGCCAGUUGUAUAUGAGCCAUUGUUGAGAUACCACUCUUUCUUAUUUGGGUAGCUAACCAGCUUGAGUUAUCCUCAAGUGGGACAAUGUCUGGUGGGUAGUUUGACUGGGGCGGUCGCCUCCCAAAUAAUAACGGAGGCUUACAAAGGUUGGCUCAGAACGGUUGGAAAUCGUUCGUAGAGUAUAAAGGUAUAAGCCAGCUUAACUGCAAGACAUACAAGUCAAGCAGAGACGAAAGUCGGUCUUAGUGAUCCGGUGGUUCUGUGUGGAAGGGCCAUCGCUCAAAGGAUAAAAGGUACCCCGGGGAUAACAGGCUGAUCUCCCCCAAGAGCUCACAUCGACGGGGAGGUUUGGCACCUCGAUGUCGGCUCAUCGCAUCCUGGGGCUGGAGCAGGUCCCAAGGGUAUGGCUGUUCGCCAUUUAAAGCGGUACGCGAGCUGGGUUCAGAACGUCGUGAGACAGUUCGGUCCCUAUCUGCCGUGGGCGUAAGAAGAUUGAAGAGAUUUGACCCUAGUACGAGAGGACCGGGUUGAACAAACCACUGGUGUAGCU
rnacentral:rRNA from 1 species